rnacentral:tRNA from 1 species
GCGCUCGUAGCUCAGCUCGGAUAGAGCAUCUGGUUGCGGUCCAGAAGGUCGUAGGUUCAAAUCCUGCCGGGCGCACCA